GAUGAGGUGGCUGAGUUUGGUAAAGCGGCAGUUUGCUAAAUUGUAAAGGUUUUAACUUUGCGCGGGUUCAAAUCCCGCUUUCAUCG
rnacentral:tRNA from 2 species